AGUUCAAGACCAGCUUGGCCAACAUGGUGAAACUCCCUCUCUACAAAAAUAUUUUUAAAAAUUAGCCAGGCAUGAUUAUGGGUGCCUGUAAUCCCAACUACUCAGGAGGCUGAGGCGGGAGAAUUGCUUGAACCUGGGAGGCGGAGGUUGCAGUGAGCCGAGAUCAUGCCAUUGCACUCCAGCCUGGGCGACAGAGUGAGACGCCAUCACACACACAAAAAAAAGAAAAAAAAAUUAACUAUAAUUCUUCUUGGUUUAGUGGUAGACGGAGGAGAAGUCCAUCCCCACCACCCACCAGAAGGCGACGGUCUCCUUCUCCCGCCCCUCCUCCUCGACGGCGCAGGACUCCCACACCACCACCACGACGAAGGACUCCUUCUCCUCCCCCACGUCGGCGCUCACCUUCUCCUAGAAGAUACUCUCCUCCAAUACAGAGGAGAUACUCUCCUUCUCCACCUCCAAAGAGAAGAACGGCUUCACCUCCUCCCCCUCCUAAACGAAGAGCAUCACCA
rnacentral:sRNA from 1 species